UUAUAUACUCUGAAUAUUAACUCCUUAUUAACUGUAUGAUUUGAAAAUAUUUUCUCCCUUUCCCCAGAUUGGCUUUCAUGCUGUUAAUUCUACUUUUUGAUACAGAAGAGGUUUAAAUUUUUAUGUAGCCAAAUUUGUCUAUUUUUACUUCUGUUGCUUGAACUUUUGGCAUCAUAUCCUCCAAAUCACUACCACAUCAAAUAUCAUAAAACGUUUUCACUAUAUUUUCUCCUAAGAGUUUUAUAGUUUUAGUUCUUAUGCUUAUUUUUUGGUGGAAAUUAAUUUUAUAUUUGAUGUUAGACUUUCAAGUUUCCAAAAAAUUCUUUUGCAUGUAGGAAUCAAGUUUCUUAGCAUCAUUUGUUGAAAAAGCUAUCAUUCCCCUAACUGAAUGCUGACUCACAGUUUUAAGAGAUUCAGAUCAUAGUAAGUGACAUCAUAGCAGAAAUAUUAAAGAAGGGUAUGGCAGAGCCAAGAUGCUUAAUUCAUAGUAACUAGGAAGCAGAAAAAUGCCAAAGAGGAAGGAGCAAGGGAUCAGAUAUACCCCCCGAGUUCACACCUCCAUGACCUACCCAGACGUACUAAGGGUGUGUUCUUCACUAAUUCCUUUGGUGUCUCUUAAGCCAGUCAUGCUGCCAUAAUUAAAAUGAACCACCACAUUCCAACCCUCACUAAUUUGACAUCCAAACACACUCCUGAGACCACACUUACACUCUGAUUAACAUGACAAGAUCUCAAUAAUUUCCUAACAUGGUGUAGCUUACCUAGCACACAGCCACAAACACAGUAACUCCUGCCUCAAGUCUCAACAGAUCCAGAACCUUCCAAGUUCUUCUGAGAUGCGAGGCAAACUCUUUGCUGUGAACCGCUAUACAGAUAAAAAGCAAGUUCAAUAUUCCCAAGGGAUAGUGCUAAAAAUUUGUUUUGAAUUUUAGAGAAGGCUUGGACUUGAACUUCCGAGCAAUGCUGGAACUGAGAAGACUUUGGGAACUCUGGGAAGUAGACUAGAUGCAUUUUAUAAUGUGAAACAGAUAUAAUCAUUUGUGGACCAACGAUGGAAUAUUGUGGCUUAAGUAUGAAACUGUGAAAUGUUCCCUGAAGAUUCAUGUAUUGAGGGCUUGAGCCCCAGUGCAACAGCGUUCAGGGAUGGAGCCUAUGAAAGCAACUAGAAGACGAGGACACUAACCUCAUCACUGGAUUAAUCCACUAGCUGAAUGGCCUGAAAGGAACGAGGUAUAUUUGAAGGAAGCGAGCCACUGGGACAUGUUUUUGAAGGAUAUAUUUAUUAUCAUCCUCUUUUCCUCUCUCUCUUCUCUUAGUCUUGAAGUAAGCAACUUUCCUUAGCCAUCAUUUCUACCAUGAUGAUUCUGCCUUGCAGUCGACUCACCACAAUCUGAAACCAUGACACCAAAAAGAUCUUAAGGGAUCUUUUCUCCUUUGAGAUUUUUCUUUGUUUAGAUAUUGGCCCCAGAGAUGGAAAGGUGACCAAAAAGCAACUGUUUGCAUGUUUGUUUGUUUGUUUGUUUGCUGUGAUAUUAACGAUUGAACAUAGGGCUUUCAUACUGAACUACAUACCCAGUCUUCUUUAGCUUUUUGACACAUGAUCUCACUAAGUCUCCACAUCUUCCAGCCUGGGCUUGAACUUUCAAUACUUCUGAUCCAUGGCCUUACUAAACCCCACCUCCUAUUUCUGUCAGUUUCCAAUAAUGUCAUCAGAUUAUGAUCAGAGAUUAAGCCACAAUUGAAGCUAGAACCUUCUUCAAAUAUUUCCUCAUAACCAGGGGCAACCAUGCCUUCAGCACCAUGAACCUUUUAGGAGGCACAUCCUGUCCAAGCCACAGAAGAUAUUUUAAACAAACAUGCAGGGCAGAAGUCCAAGUUUAAGAUUCUAAGGGAUUUGAUUUCUUGUGAGAUCUUGUUUGCUGGCCUUCUAGCUAUGCUCUUAUCUGGUCUCUCCUUGCUACAUACAGGGAGAGACAGAAGUGGGAAGGAAGGAAAGGGGGAGGGAGAAACAAGGAGGGAAGAAAAACUGAAAAAGAGAGUGAGAGAAAAACACUAUAGCUUUCUCUUCUCACAACAUCACUAGUUCUAUUGCAUAAAGUUUCCCAAUCUUAUAACUUUACCUCCUAACUUAUAACUGUACCACUCUGUCUAAAAAUAUAUUCACAUAGGUCAAAGGACUUCAACAUAUGAACAAAGAGUACAUUUAGUGUAUUGUUGUAAUACAUUAUUUUUUGGACAUUAAAUAUUGAAAGAGUGAUGAUAGUGGUAGUAGGGUGAAUAUGAUAAAAAGAAUUUUACACAAAAUUUUAUUUGUUCCUUCUCAGUGUGUGAGGAAAUUGCCUUGAACUGCAAAAGAGUCUAUUGGAAAACAGGCAGAUGAGUUUUCAAAGUUCAUGUGCUAAAUUGUCACACUGCUGGAUUUCCAUGCCCACUUGCUAUGAUACCUUUAAUUUUCUGUCAAAGAGGUAUCUAAAUAGGUUAGAAAAAU